ACUAUUCAUGUGUCAUGCUUCGUGAUAUGAGCCAGUAGCCAACAUAUCUCAGGCAGAGCGGCAUCAUGCUUAUGUCACCUUUCUUCAUCGUAGGCAGAGCUUUGGUGGAUGAUGCCGUCUGCAGCUCCCGUUUCUCGCUUCUGUACACAUGCCUGCUGAAGCAAGUUUACCAUAUGGGGUUGCAACCCCCUCAUUUGAGUCCCGCAGAUCAUGCAAGCAAGCAGUUGCAAUGUCUAGCAUGCAAGCCCAAUUUUACUACUUCUCAUGAGACAACAUCAUACCUUGGGUUGUUGCUUGGGUUUGGUGCUGCCCAGGUGUGCAGCCAUGGCAUGAGGAGCGUGGUCGCGAUGGUGAAGUCCUAUGUUGCCAAGUUGCCAUAGAACUCGGCAAAGUCGUCAUAUUUCAUUCCACUGACGGCCAGGAAUUCCUCAAACGCUUUGGUGGCCUUAUCACCAGCAACACUGCAAACGUUGCUGGGCACGUUUAAAAUGUACCGCUCAUCUGAUGAACCAGUGCAAUGGCUGAUGAUGCCACUCACUUGUCAUUCGUUGGCUGCAUCAUAGCUGCAGCUGGACCUCGUGCAUCCUGCGCCUAUUGUCCGACGGCUGCGUGGGCUGCAUCCCGAAUCCACCCACAAAAUCAUCAUUGGCUUCCAUUGUGAUAUUACCUCUUAAGCAUCUUUAGAGAUUUGGCCUAUGGGGUUAGACAGUAGGGUCGGGCUGGAGCCAACUAUAGCACAGCCAGAGACUCUUGAUCCUGAGUAAGGUAAUUAUUACAAGGACGAUAACACUUGUUAGUUUGAUGCUGCAAUGAGUGGCAAUGCACAAUGAGACAGGUACAGAUCCUGCCUGUGGGUCGCCGCUGUACUGC
rnacentral:lncRNA from 1 species